CCUACGGGAGGCAGCAGUGGGGAAUAUUGCGCAAUGGGCGAAAGCCUGACGCAGCGACGCCGCGUGAGGGAUGAAGGUCUUCGGAUCGUAAACCUCUGUCAGCAGGGAAGAACGGUCACUGUGCUAAUCAGCAGUGAAUUGACGGUACCUGCAAAGGAAGCACCGGCUAACUCCGUGCCAGCAGCCGCGGUAAUACGGAGGGUGCGAGCGUUCAUCGGAAUUACUGGGCGUAAAGCGCUCGUAGGCGGUAUGUCAAGUCAAGGGGGAAAUCCCCGCGCUCAACGUGGGAACUGCCGUUGAAACUGGCAAACUGGAGUGUGUGAGAGGAUAGUGGAAUUCCAGGUGUAGGAGUGAAAUCCGUAGAUAUCUGGAGGAACAUCAGUGGCGAAGGCGACUAUCUGGCACAUAACUGACGCUGAGGAGCGAAAGCGUGGGUAGCAAACAGGAUUAGAUACCCCUGUAGUC
rnacentral:rRNA from 1 species